rnacentral:rRNA from 1 species
AGUGAACGCUGGCGGUAGGCCUAACACAUGCAAGUCGAACGGCAGCACAGUAAGAGCUUGCUCUUACGGGUGGCGAGUGGCGGACGGGUGAGGAAUACAUCGGAAUCUACUUUUUCGUGGGGGAUAACGUAGGGAAACUUACGCUAAUACCGCAUACGACCUACGGGUGAAAGCAGGGGAUCUUCGCACCUUGCGCGAUUGAAUGAGCCGAUGCCGGAUUAGCUAGUUGGCGGGGUAAAGGCCCACCAAGGCAACGACCCGUAGCCGGCUGGAGAGGAUGAUCAGCCACACUGGAACUGGACACCGGUCAGAACUCCUACGGGAGGCAGCAGAGGGGAAUAUUGGACAAUGGGCGCAGGCCUGCUCCAGACAUACCGCGUGGGUGAAGAGGGCCUUCGGGUUGUAAAGCCCUUUUGUUGGGAAAGAAAAGCAGCAGGUUAAUACCCCGCUGUUCUGACGGUACCCGAAGAAUAAGCACCGGCUAACUUCGUG